UACGUAGGGUGCGAGCGUUGCCCGGAUUUAUUGGGCGUAAAGGGCGCGCAGGCGGCUACGCACGUCCGUUGUGAAAUCGCUCGGCUCAACUGGGCGGGGUCGGCGGAUACGGCGUAGCUGGAGCAAGCUAGGGGGCAAUGGAAUUCCCGGUGUAGUGGUGGAAUGCGUAGAUAUCGGGAGGAACACCAGUGGCGAAGGCGGUUGCCUGGAGCUUUGCUGACGCUGAGGCGCGAAAGCGUGGGGAGCGAUCCGG
rnacentral:rRNA from 1 species